CGAAGCCUACGGGGGGCAGCAGUGGGGAAUAUUGCACAAUGGGGGAAACCCUGAUGCAGCGACGCCGCGUGAAGGAAGAAGUAUUUCGGUAUGUAAACUUCUAUCAGCAGGGAAGAGAAUGACGGUACCUGACUAAGAAGCCCCGGCUAACUACGUGCCAGCAGCCGCGGUAAUACGUAGGGGGCAAGCGUUAUCCGGAUUUACUGGGUGUAAAGGGAGCGUAGACGGCUGGCCAAGUCUGAAGUGAAAGCCCGGGGCUUAACCCCGGAACGGCUUUGGAAACUGGCCGGCUGGAGUGCUGGAGA
rnacentral:rRNA from 1 species